rnacentral:rRNA from 1 species
UCCGUCCCAUAUGAAAAGAUUAUAUUAGAAUUGAAUGAAGCUUUGUUUAUAUAUUGAUAAUGACAGUAUAUAUAUCGUGUCUUGACUAAUUGCGUGCCAGCAGUCGCGGUAAUACGUAAGAGACUAGUGUUAUUCAUCUUAAUUAGGUUUAAAGGGUACCCAGACGGUCAAUAUAGCUUAUAAAAUGUUAGUACUUGACUAGAGUUUUAUGUAAGAGGGCAGUACUUGAGGAGGAGAGAUGAAAUUUCGUGAUACCAAAGGGACUCUGUAAAGGCGAAGGCAGCCCUCUAUGUAAAAACUGACGUUGAAGGACGAAGGCACAGAGAACAAACAGGAUUAGAUACCCAAGUAGUCUUAUGCAGUAAAUGAUGAAUGCCAUAGGUUAGAUGGGUGGGUUAGUCGUAGUUGAGUUAGUUUAGCAAACUAAUGGAUUCAGACUAGUCCACCAUAUAUUUGGUCUAUAAAUGAAAGUGUAAGCAUUUCACCUCAAGAGUAAUGUGGCAACGCAGGAACUGAAAUCACUAGACCGU